GAGCUCGCCCGAAGUAGUAUAAUUAGGUUUUCUUCGCAAUCGCGCCUCAAAUCUCCCUUCGAUCUCUACAUCUAUCGUCCGUACGUACAAUCCUCUUCGUUGCAGAUCUUUACCCUAAUCGCUUUGGGAAUAUGUGGUGAGCUGCAUAAAUUGUUCCAAUUCGAGCAAAUUUUUGUAGAUUUUCUUUUAAUUUUUGGGGCGAUAUUAGGGUUCUCUAUACGGGGUUAGGGUUCAUUGGUGCUCGACUAUUUUUGUCAUCUUCUUAAAUUUCUUACUUUGCUCUUGUAAGCGGCUCCAGAGCACCCGUGUUGGUUAAUAGCGUUAGAGAGUGAUGCAUCAGCAAUUGGAGUUAAAGAUUAAAGCGACAUACGAUGGGCACUCUAUAGAAGAUUGACAGGGUUUACGAAGAAACCGCCAAGAACCAUGCAGGAAAUUUGGUUCUUACUUCAUGGAUCAAUUUUACAUGAUUUUAACUAAGGUGUGAGAUGCAGCAAUGCAAAAUGGUUCUUCUGUUGAAUCAAAUUGGUCAAAUUAUCUGACAUUCAAUACCUCUAGCCUUUACAAGCAAAUGUUAUUGUCUGAUGAAAACACCGAACAAUCAGUGGCAGAGCUGUCCCCAGGCAGCAUUUAGACAUGUUGGUGGUAAAUGUGGCAGCGGUGGUCGUGGAGCUUACACAUGGUUUUCUAUUUAGGAAUAAAAUUGACGGGCGGAGAGCGAGGCCGAAAGAAAAUGCCCACUCUUAAAGCCUUUUCCUAUCUGUUUGCUUAGUUAAGAGUAUCAUGCUGAGAAUGAAUUUGUUUUCAUUUGUUUUAUGGAUCUUUCUAGCUCCUGCUUUUUUGGGUACUUUGUUAGUUUACUUAUGCCACACUCUGUAAACAUGUGAUAGAUGGAUCCAAUUAUAAUAUCUUUUAGUUUCAUUUUUCUUUUUUAUUCGAUUGUAAAUUUCCUUUAAUUUUGGCACCCUCUCUCAAUGUGGAUGCGCAGAUACUUUCCUGAAGCUAUUCUUUGAAA